rnacentral:rRNA from 1 species
GACGAACGCUGGCGGCGUGCUUAACACAUGCAAGUCGAACGGUAAGGCCCUUCGGGGUACACGAGUGGCGAACGGGUGAGUAACACGUGGGUGAUCUGCCCUGCACUUCGGGAUAAGCCUGGGAAACUGGGUCUAAUACCGGAUAGGACUCCGGACUGCAUGGUCUGGGGUGGAAAGCUUUUGCGGUGUGGGAUGGGCCCGCGGCCUAUCAGCUCGUUGGUGGGGUGAUGGCCUACCAGGGCGACGACGGGUAGCCGGCCUGAGAGGGUGACCGGCCAGACUGGGACUGAGAUACGGCCCAGACUCCUACGGGAGGCAGCAGUGGGGAAUAUUGCACAAUGGGCGCAAGCCUGAUGCAGCGACGCCGCGUGAGGGAUGACGGCCUUCGGGUUGUAAACCUCUUUCAGCAUCGACGAAGCGAAAGUGACGGUAGGUGCAGAAGAAGGACCGGCCAACUACGUGCCAGCCGCCGCCGUAA